rnacentral:rRNA from 1 species
GGAGGGAGCGAGCGUUGUUCGGAAUCACUGGGCGUAAAGGGCGCGUAGGCGGCCGAGUAAGUCGUGUGUGAAAGACCGGGGCUCAACUCCGUGUACUGCAUGCGAUACUGCUCGGCUAGAGAAAGGUAGAGGCGAGUGGAAUUCCCGGUGUAGCGGUGGAAUGCGUAGAUAUCGGGAAGAACACCUGUGGCGAAGGCGGCUCGCUGGGCCUUUUCUGACGCUGAAGUGCGAAAGCGUGGGGAGCAAACAGGAUUAGAUACCCUGGUAGUCCACGCCGUAAACGAUGGGCACUAGGCGUUGGGAGGAUUGACCCUCUCAGUGCCGUAGCUAACGCGUUAAGUGCCCCCCGCCUGGGGAGUACGGCCGCAAGGCUG